rnacentral:rRNA from 1 species
AUGGAAGGGCAGCAGCGGCCUGUGGGGCGUCGACUGGAAUGGCAGCGACCUCCAUGGAAGAGAAGGGCCCGGCAGGCUCGUGCACGCGGGAGAAGCUGGGGGCGCUCGUCGAUUGGGCAGAUGGCGGCCAUCCAAGUUUCUUCAAUCGAUCUGGACAUGGUCAUGGCAGCUACGCAAAGGGUGAAGGCGAGCGACCCUCUGGAGCCGCGUACGUCGAGAGGUAGCAGCCGUGCCCCUCCUCCUUCCCUUCUCUUCUCCCCUCCUCCUCUCCAAUCUAGCCUGCCGUCCUCAGCAUCUUCCUCUUCCAUUUUUUACUCCUUUGAUUUUCUGAUUCUCUAA